UACGGGGGGAGCAAGCGUUGUUCGGAUUUACUGGGCGUAAAGGGCGCGUAGGCGGCCACCGCAAGUCGACUGUGAAAUCUCCGGGCUUAACCCGGAAAGGUCAGCCGAUACUGCGGGGCUAGAGUGCAGAAGGGGCAACUGGAAUUCUCGGUGUAGCGGUGAAAUGCGUAGAUAAUCGAGAGGAACACCUGCGGCGAAAGGCGGGGUUGCCUGGGGCUGACACUGACGCUGAGGCGCGAAAGCUAGGGGAGCGAACGGGG
rnacentral:rRNA from 1 species